UCUAAUAUGCGUUUUGGUUAUCAUGAAUAAAUAGUACUUAUACAUAUAUAACUACUGUCCAAAACGAAACACCGUGGCUGUAAUGAAUUUGCGUUAGCAUUGAAGCAAAGGUCGUGAAAAACUUUAAAAGCAUCUCCUGAAAAGUGACAAAAAAUUAGUUACACCACUUCGUGAUAUUGACGACGAUAUUGGCGUAAAUUCAUUAAAUUUAGAUGAAUUUUAAUAAAUAAGGUUGACAUACUAUUGAGUAAAUUUUAAAGGAAAAGCAGCCCAUAUAUACACUACCGGCCAAAAGUGGAGAAACACUUUACUUUUUUUACUUUAAUGGUAAUAAAUCUUUAAAAUUUAACAACCUUGUAAAACUAUAUUUGCUGAACUAUAUUAAUCUUCGCUAACGCUAUUUAAAAAUGUUACAACAUUCUUUAUCUUAUCUUGUCUCUUUUUUUGUUUUUUUCCUUGUAACUUAAUAAUGAAACCAUGAAUUUAUUUGCAUUUUUUUAUAUUGAUUGAUUUAAAUUUUUAAGUUUUUUUUUUAAAUAUGUAAUAUAUUAUGUAUUACCUUUUGUAGCUCAAGCUAAAUAAAUACAUUAUUAUUA